GUUGGUUUACUGUAGGACAUUAUAAGCAUUGAUACUAGGUGGGCAGUACUGUUGGUUUAUUGUAGGACAUUAUAAGCAUUGAUACUAGGUGGGCUGUACUGUUGGUUUACUGUAGGACAUUAUAAGCAUUGAUACUAGGUGGGCUGUACUGUUGGUUUACUGUAGGACAUUAUAAGCAUUGAUACUAGGUGGGCAGUACUGUUGGUUUACUGUAGGACAUUAUAAGCAUUGAUACUAGGUGGGCUGUACUGUUGGUUUACUGUAGGACAUUAUAAGCAUUGAUACUAGGUGGGCUGUACUGUUGGUUUACUGUAGGACAUUAUAAGCAUUGAUACUAGGUGGGCUGUACUGUUGGUUUACUGUAGGACAUUAUAAGCAUUGAUACUAGGUAGGCUGUACUGUUGGUUUACUGUAGGACAUUAUAAGCAUUGAUACUAGGUGGGCUGUACUGUUGGUUUACUGUAGGACAUUAUAAGCAUUGAUACUAGGUGGGCAGUACUGUUGGUUUACUGUAGGACAUUAUAAGCAUUGAUACUAGGUGGGCUGUACUGUUGGUUUACUGUAGGACAUUAUACACAUUGAUACUAGGUGGGCUGUACUGUUGGUUUACUGUAGGACAUUAUAAGCAUUGAUACUAGGUGGGCUGUACUGUUGGUUUACUGUAGGACAUUGAUACUAG